GUGAUUGAUGAGCUUUUGGAUGAGUUAGCUGGUUCUUCAUGGUUUUCAAAAUUGGAUUUAAGAUUAGGUUAUCAUCAGAUAAGGCUUGCCCCUGGAGAGGAGUAUAAGACUGCAUUUCAAACUCAUAAUGGGCAUUUUGAGUUUUUGGUUAUGUCACAAGGGCUGACUGGGGGACCUAACACUUCUCAGUUUGCUAUGAAUAGUGAUUUGUCCCCUGUGUUAAGGAAAUGUGCAGUGGUCUUCUUUGAUGAUAUUCUAGUUUUUAGUGCUACUUAUGCACUUCAUUUGCAACAUUUGGCAGAAGUACUUCAGUUGUUACUUAAGCAUCAAUGGCAAGUCAGAUUAUCCAAGUGUGCUUUUGCUCAG
rnacentral:rRNA from 1 species